ensembl:lncRNA
CAUUUACCCAGCACAGCCAGGCAGUGUCUGCCGAGCCAGCAGUGGUCCUAAGCACGCGCCUGCCUGCUUGUCCACCGUGAGCCUCAAGCCCACAGGCCCCUAGACCACAGACCAGCACCUGGGAUGACCCCUGAUGGACGUGCUGCUCUAGGUGAGACCACAUGCCCAGACACACGGAGCUUGGUCCGGGUUCCUGGAUACUUCUUCCUGUCCUGAGACACAGGCUGCCUGGGCAGCAGAACCAACUGUGGAGUUGGAUGGACCUGCUCCCAAGACCAAAUAACUGAAACAGGAGGGCCCUACGUGGCAGUCCCUGGGAUGAGAAAACCGUGUGUCAAAGCUGCUGCCGAGUCCCUCUCUAUUUUUACCUUCCUCACACUACCUCUUUGAGCCUGGAGGAGGCAUCUUGGCCUGAGGUGGCCCGAGCUGGCGUCUCUGAGGCAGAUUCAGCCAGCCCUCAGCUGGUUCUCCAGAAACCACUACCAAAAUGCCAGGAUAAUUCACCCCGGCUUCCCUCAGCCCCAAGGCUGGGCCAGCACCCUGAAGGAUACAUCACUGGAUCCUCCUAAGUGGAGGAGAGAAGAUCCCCAUUUUUACAGAAUGCUCGUGACUGAAUGGGCCGAGGCCCUUGAGGAACUCUCAGAACACCUAGGGCUUCACUCUGCAGGGAAGAGUCCUGGGAUGAGGGGCAGCAGGCCAUCCGUGGCCUGGUUACCGUGUUUCCUCCUGGACUACCCAUGAUCACAGCUCAGCAGAUGCAAGGAAAUGUAGAGGGCAUCUGGAACUCGCAUGACUUUCCAGAGGAAACGCAGUGCAGCACCAUGAUCUCUUUCAUCUUCUAUCAUCUUGCACAUCAAAACUCCCCCUCCACUCAUCAAGGGACUCUUGUAUAGCUACACCCAAACCUGCAGCAACUGCACGGGCAGUCCUCAGGCACAGGCCUCCUGUGUGUGUGUGUUGGAAGACCAGGGCAAUUGGCAUUGCCACCUGGAGGAUAUGUGGCUUGAAGCCUGUCAAGCCCCAAACCUGCCCACCUUCAGGACUCCUGUAGCCACAUAUGGAAGUGGAACAUUGGUUGUGAUGACAUGAAGGCAGAAAUGUGAUGUUUCCCUGAGAUUAGGCGGGCUGAGGCCAGCGCUCCAGAACCUUGGACAGCUCCACUCCUUGGGGACUGCUGAGCGCCCUGAAGAAACACGAAGGACUUGGGGGAUUUUCCCAGAAGGGCUGCAUUAGUGUGGGGAUUUAGGGAUCCCAAGGGCCUCAGUCUCACUCCAAGGAAGUGUACCAGUGACUGCAUGUUCAGAUUCUUCAACACAACCAGCCCUCCUGGAAAAUUCUGAGGAGCCUCUCCUCCUCAGAAACCCUAUCCAUAAGAGUUACCAAAUCAUCAGGGCCUUUCCUUCUCUCCUAAGAACUCCAAGGAUUUUUUUUUUCUUUUUUGAGCCCAAGAAGAACAGAAAUACCACCCACAUCUUCCUGUAUCCGCUGAUAUUUACUUUGUUUGGCUUCAGUACAAGGAUUAAACCUUCUUGAUUAACCUUGAGUGAAAGUAAUAAUGUAUGAGCAUAAAGAAAGGCUUUAUAAGACAGAGACUCAUGUAUGAAUAAAAAAAAAUUAAUGUCAUUGCCUGUAUGUGAUGUUAAGUGACAAUCUCUAAUCAGGAUAUGCAGGUAGUUCAAUUUAUGCGAUAAUUAAUCUUUUUACUCUCCAGUGCAGAACACAACACACAUAUGCAGUCACCUUCUGAACAGGCAAGGAAGAGAUUAAGUCCUAUUUUUACUUUAUGAUACUGAGUCAUGUAGUUCAAUGCAAAUCACAUGGAUGCCAAAGUAAGAACAAUAACAGGUAUUUAAAUAUCUCUUUUACUUUAAGGAGCACUGAAGAGUUUGUGGCUGCCUGAAAUCACAUUAGAGCAACUCCAGGAGAGGAGAUGUGUGUCAGCAG